rnacentral:rRNA from 1 species
GACGUAGGGGGCGAGCGUUGUCCGGAUUUACUGGGCGUAAAGGGCGCGUAGGCGGCUUGUUAAGUGUGGUGUGAAAUCUCCAGGGCUCAACCCGGAAACUGCACCGCAUACUGGCUAGCUUGAGGAACGCAGAGGUGACUGGAAUUCCCGGUGUAGCGGUGAAAUGCGUUGAUAUCGGGAGGAACUCCAAUGGCGAAGGCAGGUCACUGGGCGUUAUCUGACGCUGAGGCGCGAAAGCGUGGGUAGCAAACAGG